rnacentral:lncRNA from 1 species
AAGAAAAAGGGUGCCCGGAGAGAUUGCUCGCAACCUCCUGCCUACGUAUCUCAUCUGGUAUGAGAAUCAGGGCGACGUAGUUCCCCUUAACAGGGGAAAGGAGACAACAAACUAAUAGGGAGACUAAGACUCGAGCCUAAUAGUUUUCAUGCAAACAAUAUCCCUAAGUCGGGAAUAAGGGUGAUGAACACACCCAAAACCAAAACAACAACAAAAAAGGUGAAAAAGAAAAAGGGUGCCCGGAGAGAUUGCUCGCAACCUCCUGCCUACGUAUCUCAUCUGGUAUGAGAAUCAGGGCGACGUAGUUCCCCUUAACAGGGGUACAACACUCUCCUAACC